UACGGAGGGUGCAAGCGUUGUCCGGAAUCACUGGGCGUAAAGGGCGCGUAGGCGGCCCGGUAAGUAGGGGGUGAAAUCCUGCGGCUUAACCGCAGGGCUGCCUUCUAAACUGUCAGGCUUGAGCACAGUAGAGGCAGGUGGAAUUCCGUGUGUAGCGGUGAAAUGCGCAGAUAUACGGAGGAACACCUGCGGCGAAGGCGGGUAGCUGGGCCAACACUGACGCUGAUGCGCGAAAGCUAGGGGAGCAAACGGG
rnacentral:rRNA from 1 species